CUCUGUUGCCCAGGCUAGAGUGCAGUGGUGCAAUCAGGGAGAGCUGUAUGUUGUAUUUUAUUUUAUUUAUUUAUUUAUUUAUUUAUUUAUUGAGACAGGGUCUCACUCUGUUGCCCAGGCUGGAGUGCAGUGGUUGAGCCAUGACUCCACCACUGCACUCCAGCAAACACCACCACUGUACCUAGUGCACAGUAAGGACCAACAGAAGAGCAGAAGAGUCAGCUGUAGCUGAUAA
rnacentral:lncRNA from 1 species